CACUACCUUUAAGUGGGCAUUUUAUGAUAUUUCAAAUGUGCUGAAUAUGAUCGUAAGCUCGGAUCAACGUCAAUCUCCGUGCAAAUACGUAAAAAGCAGGAUGGAAAUAAGCAAUUUACAAGACUCAACAAAAUUUACUCAGCCAAAUACAAACAGGACAUUUGACAAGCACUGGAUCACUCUGACAUUGGCUGCCUGGGAGGUCAACAUGUCAUGGUUUUUGGUGAGUACAAUAAAGCAGUUGCUAUACUGAAUUUUGCUUUUAUUUUAUUUUUAAUAGGUAGCAUGUUUUGGGUGUAAUGCUUAACCCGCGCAUGACGGGGGGGGGCUCUACAGAGCCCCCUCCCGUUUGCGGCAAUAUCUUCUAAACUGUUUCACAGAUCUACACGAAACGUGCAGUACCCUCAGCGGCAUCAAUUUGACACCUUGUGUAAAAAUUUCAACUUUCUAGCUACAAUAAUUU